rnacentral:lncRNA from 1 species
UCCUCUGUCUAGCAUAAGAACAAUCCCUGAACUUGUGGCCCAACUUGCCACAACCAAAAUAACCUCUCUGACCGACUAAGAACUCACCGAGAUGGUCUUUACCAUACUUCAGACAUGGGGGAGGACGAGGUCUAUUACUCACACUAUCCUAGGACCUGGACAUAGUAGGCCUAUUACCCUGCUCCAGCCUAAUUCUGAAUGCAGGGGUACUGGAUGAUGAAGGUACUGGCACAAGUGAACGGCUCUGGAACUGAGGGCGGAU